ensembl:lincRNA
GUGUGGCGGGGGUGUGUGUAUGUGCGUGUGUGAGUGUGUGGCUAGGCCUGCUGCACAAUCUGUUGAAGGCAGGUCCCAGGCACUUUGGCUAAGGUGAACUUGGGACACCUGAAAUAAGGCUGGGGUCAAACAUACCUGAUGGAGCUUACUGAGUGAGUAUGGAUGAAGUGAGGAUUACGGGAGAGGGUGAAUUCCAGCACAACACACCAGGAGGACAAGUCUGGACAGGGGCCUACCCACAGCCCCACCCCUACAUUGAUGGUGCAGCACUGCUGGCUGGAUCCGGCCGAAACUGGUCUUCAGCUGGGACCACACUUUGCCUCCUUCCUUCCUUCUUUCCUGGGUUCCACCCAUUUUCCUCACAGGAUUCUCCUAAGAGCAUCCCUCAGAAAAUCACCUCAGAGAAUCUUCUCAGAUGCCAUCUAAAGAAGGCCUAAUGGUCGCCAUAAGCCUAGAAUUUCAUGUUUCCUUGGCAUCUCUGAGCCUCUCAGGGUCUCAUCGGCUCCACCCCACCCUGGGAAAAGCCUCCACUCAGCCAGUUCACAGCUCAGCUGCAGAAGGCCAAGGACUCCUCCUCUCCCUCAGCCCGAUGGGAUUUACUUCCACCACAGCCCGGUGGGUCCCGCAGCCGCUGCCGUCCAUGCUGCCUUCACCUGUUGCUUUCAUCUGUCCAAGUUGUCUGAGUAGAAAGAGGACCCAGGACGAUUUCCGAGGCCGAGUUCUGUCCUUUUUCCCGGUGGUUUCCACGUGGGCACCGGGCAGCACCACGGGACGGUGUAGGAACGCACGUCAUCGGGAACAGCGAGCUGCGGCUGGCAAUAGCCCUGCAGGUGAGCCUGAUGCCCCGCAGGCAGCUGGACAAGGCCAAUCUGCUGGCCCCAAGGCAAAGCAGUGCCAAGGGAUGGGUGGGACCUGUGCACGGUGACCAGAGCUCCCCACAAACAGCUCUCAAAGACAGGACACAGAAUAGAGAGCCCGUGGCUUUGUACAGCAG